CAAUGAAUAAGUCAGACAAGUAUCUUCGCGCUGAAGACCUUGUAUUUUAGUGGACUGCUAGGAAUAAGCAGAUGUCUUGCUCACUACAAUGCCUGGGAGAUCCAGAACACCUUCUACAAUCCUUCCUUGAGGGAAAGAGCUAUGGGAGAUCCCCAAACCAAAGGAAAACAUUCUCCAACGGGCACUUCCAAAACAAGAAUCAGGGGUUUCCCUAAACCAGUUGGACGGCUCUUCCUACAUGCUCUGUUCACCUAGGGGAACCCCAAUCAGCAGAGCUCAGGUGAGAAAAUCUGUGUCCGUGCAAAGGUCCUCUGUGAAUGUUCAUAGUAGCAUUAUUCACAGUGACCAAAAAGUGGAGAGAGCUCACAUGUCC
rnacentral:lncRNA from 10 species